AGAGUUUGAUCCUGGCUCAGGACGAACGCUGGCGGCGUGCUUAACACAUGCAAGUCGAACGGUAAGGCCCUUCGGGGUACACGAGUGGCGAACGGGUGAGUAACACGUGGGUAAUCUGCCCUGCACAUCGGGAUAAGCCUGGGAAACUGGGUCUAAUACCGAAUAGGACCACAGGACACAUGUCCUGUGGUGGAAAGCUUUUGCGGUGUGGGAUGGGCCCGCGGCCUAUCAGCUUGUUGGUGGGGUGAUGGCCUACCAAGGCGACGACGGGUAGCCGGCCUGAGAGGGUGUCCGGCCACACUGGGACUGAGAUACGGCCCAGACUCCUACGGGAGGCAGCAGUGGGGAAUAUUGCACAAUGGGCGAAAGCCUGAUGCAGCGACGCCGCGUGGGGGAUGACGGCCUUCGGGUUGUAAACCUCUUUCACCAUCGACGAAGGUCCGGGUUUUCUCGGGCUGACGGUAGGUGGAGAAGAAGCACCGGCCAACUACGUGCCAGCAGCCGCGGUAAUACGUAGGGUGCGAGCGUUGUCCGGAAUUACUGGGCGUAAAGAGCUCGUAGGUGGUUUGUCGCGUUGUUCGUGAAAUCUCACGGCUUAACUGUGAGCGUGCGGGCGAUACGGGCAGACUUGAGUACUGCAGGGGAGACUGGAAUCCCUGGUGUAGCGGUGAAAUGCGUAGA
rnacentral:rRNA from 1 species